rnacentral:lncRNA from 1 species
GUAUUUCAUUUUUGUUUUCCUUUUCCCUCUUCUCUCUGAUUGUGAGAACAUCAGAAGAGCAGUUGGUCACAAUCAGAGAUACGCCAGAGUGGGAAGCACGAUUUGAUUUCCUUGGUGAACCCCAACUCAGGGCUGCUCAAGACCCCAUCCCAUCUCCUUUCCACUCUUAAUUCUACUCCAUUGCUCCUUCUGUCCUUCCAUUGCUCCCUCUAAGGCUGUCAGUUAUUGUCGUUGUCCAGUGGUCAUUUGACCAUCACUAAUGGUGACUCAACCAGAAGUUGUCUGUUUUGUUUUGCAGUAUGAAUGUCAUGUUAUCGCCCAGAAAGUAUUCUAACCCCAAGGGUUUAACUCACUUCUCUCGCAUCUUUAGUUAGAACUUCCAGUUUUCAGGAAAUACAGAGGACAGAGGAUCAAGAAAAGGGCAUCCUAAGGAACUGGUGAUUCUGGUGCACGCAAAGUUCGGAGAGUCCCACACUAGAGCGAUGCUUAAUAAACCUGCGCUGUUUCCAAUGGUAACCAGGGGUGAAUAUGAAGAAAGCCAGACCUCAGGAUGGAAAAGCAAUAACCAGGCCUGCAUGUCUCCCUGGAGAUAAACAGCAACUUGAGACUAGACUGCAAUUGGCACCACCAAGACCAGUGAGCCCAGACAGGCAUUAGGCACACAGGCAUAAUGCUUACAACAUGGCAGAGAAGCUCAGUGAAUCUGUGUUGAAUGAAGGUCCCCUUGCAGAAAUAUCAGUAUUGAAUACAACAUUGUACUUAAAAAUGAGUAAAUUAGAGCUACGUGUAUUAACAUGGAUAAGUCUCAAAAGUAUACAUUUAAAACAGCAAGUGUAAUGGUUAGGAUUCUCUAGAGGAAC